UACGUAGGGGGCUAGCGUUGUCCGGAAUCAUUGGGCGUAAAGCGCGCGUAGGCGGCCAGAUAAGUCCGGUGUGAAAGUCACAGGCUCAACCUGUGAAUGCCGCUGGAAACUGUCUGGCUAGAGUCCGGAAGGGGCGAGUGGAAUUCCUGGUGUAGCGGUGGAAUGCGUAGAGAUCCGGAAGAACACCGGUGGCGAAGGCGGUGAGCUGGGCGAG
rnacentral:rRNA from 1 species